CUAGGGUUUAUGGUUUGUAGUGGGGGAAGCUGGUCACAAAACUAGGCAACCUCUAGCGGGUCUCUGGGUCGGGCGGGUCCUCCCAGAGGUGGCAGCAUGGAGCGCCCUCCUGGAGACAGCCCCAGCCCGGUGGACCAGCCCUGCGCUCCCUCCGACCCCCCUGACCGGCCCCCCACUGCUCACGCAAAGCUGGACCAGAGUUCUUCUGGGAACCAACCUGCCGGCCCAGGCGCGGCGGGUGAGGCCUUGGCGGUGCUGACUUCGUUCGGGCGGAGGUUGCUGGUGCUGGUACCGGUAUACCUGGCCGGGGCAAUGGGACUCAGCGUGGGUUUUGUGCUCUUCGGCCUCGCCCUCUACCUGGGCUGGCGCCGGGUACGCGAGGAGAAAGAACGGAGCCUUCGAGUAGCGCGGCAGCUGCUGGACGAUGAGGAGCGGCUCACGGCGAAAACUCUUUACAUGAGCCAUCGAGAGCUACCUGCCUGGGUUUCCCCCGUGGGCACCCACCCGGCCUCACAGGAGGAAGCCGCGGGCAGGGGCUCGUGCUCUCACUGUCUCCGUGUCCUCCACCUCCAGGUCAGCUUCCCGGACGUGGAGAAGGCUGAGUGGCUAAAUAAGAUUGUGGCCCAGGUCUGGCCAUUCCUGGGCCAGUAUAUGGAGAAGCUUUUGGCCCAAACUGUGGCCCCAGCUGUUCGAGGAUCUAACCCCCACCUGCAAACAUUUACAUUUACACGAGUGGAACUGGGUGAAAAGCCACUGCGCAUCCUAGGAGUCAAGGUUCACUCUGGUCAGAGGAAAGAACAGAUCCUGCUGGACUUGAACAUCAGCUACGUAGGUGAUGUACAGAUUGAUGUGGAAGUGAAGAAAUAUUUCUGCAAAGCAGGAGUCAAGGGCAUGCAGCUACAUGGCGUCUUACGGGUGAUUCUUGAACCGCUCAUUGGGGACGUUCCUAUCGUGGGGGCUGUGUCGAUGUUCUUUAUCCGACGCCCGACCCUAGAUAUCAACUGGACAGGGAUGACCAACCUGUUGGAUAUCCCAGGACUCAGCUCCCUCUCUGACACCAUGAUCAUGGACUCCAUCGCCGCCUUCCUUGUGUUGCCCAACCGAUUACUGGUGCCCCUUGUGCCUGACCUUCAAGAUGUGGCCCAGUUGCGUUCCCCUCUUCCCAGGGGCAUUAUUCGGAUUCACCUGCUGGCUGCGCGAGGGCUGGGCUCCAAGGACAAAUACGUAAAGGGCCUGAUUGAGGGCAAGUCAGACCCCUACGCGCUCGUGCGCGUGGGCACCCAGACAUUCUGCAGUCGCGUCAUUGAUGAGGAACUCAACCCCAAGUGGGGAGAGACUUAUGAGGUGAUGGUACAUGAAGUCCCGGGACAGGAAAUUGAGGUAGAGGUGUUUGACAAGGAUCCAGACAAAGAUGACUUUCUGGGCAGAAUGAAGCUGGAUGUAGGGAAAGUAUUGCAGGCUGGAGUAAUGGAUGAAUGGUUCCCUCUACAAGGUGGGCAAGGUCAAGUUCACUUAAGGCUAGAAUGGCUUUCCCUUUUGCCAGAUGCAGAAAAACUGGAGCAGGUUCUACAGUGGAACCGAGGAGUCUCCUCGCGCCCAGAGCCCCCGUCCGCUGCCAUCUUAGUCAUCUACCUCGAUCGGGCCCAGGAUCUUCCUCUGAAGAAAGGGAACAAGGAGCCCAACCCCAUGGUACAGCUGUCAAUUCAGGAUGUGACCCAGGAGAGCAAGGCUGUCUAUAGCAGCAACUGCCCGGUGUGGGAGGAGGCCUUCCGGUUCUUCCUGCAAGACCCUCGAAGCCAGGAGCUCGAUGUGCAGGUGAAGGAUGACUCCAGGGCCCUGACUUUAGGGGCAUUGACCCUUCCUCUGGCUCGCCUGCUGACUGCCUCUGAACUCACCCUGGACCAGUGGUUCCAGCUCAGCAGCUCUGGCCCCAACUCCCGGCUCUACAUGAAACUUGUUAUGAGGCUCUUGUACUUGGAUUCAUCAGAAGUGGGCUUCCCUGCUGUGCCUGGUACUCCUGGAGCUUGGGACCUGGACAACGAGAGCCCCCAGACAGGCAGCAGUGUGGAUGUCCCACCUCGCCCCAGUCACACGACUCCUGACAGUAACUUUGGGACGGAGAAUGUGCUUCGGAUCCAUGUGUUAGAGGCCCAGGACCUGAUUGCCAAAGACCGUUUCUUGGGCGGAUUAGUGAAGGGCAAGUCAGACCCCUAUGUCAAACUAAAGCUGGCAGGACGAAGCUUCCGGAGCCGUGUUGUUCGGGAAGAUCUCAAUCCCCGUUGGAACGAGGUCUUUGAGGUGAUCGUCACAUCAAUUCCAGGCCAAGAGCUAGAGGCUGAGGUUUUUGACAAGGACCUGGACAAGGAUGACUUUUUGGGCAGGUGUAAAGUGAAUCUCACCACAGUCCUAAACAAUGGCUUCCUUGAGGAGUGGCUGACCCUGGAGGAUGUCCCUUCUGGCCGCCUACACUUGCGUCUGGAGCGUCUGGCCCCCCGACCCACUGCUGCUGAGUUAGAGGAGGUGCUGCAGGUGAACAGUUUGAUCCAGACUCAGAAGAGUGCAGAACUGGCAGCAGCCCUGCUGUCUGUCUACCUGGAGCGGGCUGAGGACCUGCCGCUCCGAAAAGGUACCAAACCUCCCAGCCCUUAUGCUACGCUUGCUGUGGGAGAUACUUCUCAUAAAACUAAGACUGUUUCCCAAACAUCAGCCCCUGUCUGGGAUGAGAGUGCCUCCUUUCUCAUCAGGAAACCAAACACUGAGAGCCUGGAGUUGCAGGUUCGAGGCGAGGGGACUGGCGCACUGGGCUCGUUAGCCCUGCCCCUCUCCGAGCUCCUCGUGGCUGACGGGCUCUGCCUGGACCGCUGGUUUACACUCAGCAAUGGUCAAGGGCAGGUGCUACUGAGAGCACAGCUCGGGAUCCUGGUGUCCCAGCACUCGGGGGUGGAGGCUCACAGCCACAGCCACAGCUCCUCAUCUCUCAGCGAAGAACCGGAGCUCUGGGGGGGUCUCCCUCACCUCACCUCCUCAGCCCCAGAGCUCCGGCAGCGCCUGACACAUGGUGACAGCGCUAUCUCGUCUUCCCACAGUCCCCCUGAGGCUCCAGCCGGGCCUCUGGGCCAGGUGAAACUGACCGUUUGGUACUACAGUGAAGAACGAAAGCUGGUCAGCAUCGUUCACGGCUGCCGGGCCCUUCGGCAGAAUGGACGGGAUCCCCCCGACCCCUACGUGUCACUGUUGCUCCUGCCAGACAAGAACCGGGGCACCAAGAGGAAGACCUCACAGAAGAAGAGGACCCUAAGUCCUGAAUUCAGUGAGCGGUUUGAGUGGGAACUGCCCCUGGAUGAGGCCCUUCGGCGAAAGCUGGAUGUCUCUGUGAAGUCUAGUUCCUCCUUCAUGUCAAGAGAGCGUGAGCUGCUGGGGAAGGUGCAGCUGGACCUCGCCGAGACAGACCUUUCCCAGGGUGCAGCCCAGUGGUGAGUAUCUGAUGAGCUGGAGUGGGGCCUGGAGGCUUAAGUAGGAAAGUCCCAAUCAUAGGAGGGAAAAAGCAUGCAACCCAAGGUAUGACCUCACGGAUGACAAGGACAAAGGCAGCUCCUAGGAGCCGGAGAUCACCAGCCUGCCUGCCCUGUCUCCUCGCCUCGCCUCAGGCUGCAUCACCGCCUUGGUGUGAUCAGCCUAAGGCCUGGGGCCCGAGGGCAGAGCCUGCACCCCUCCACCCUCUCGCCCCCCAGCCCCAUGCUAGGGCCUGUGCGUGACCAAAGAGGAGGACCGUAUGGUACCCUUUACUGCACGGCCUGUAUCCUUCUGGGCUCCUGGGACAGCGGCGUGAGCUGACUGUCUCCUGCUCUGCCUGCACAUCCUCCUUUCCGCCCAGCUCCUCAGGGCUUUUUGUGUCUGUGCCUGGCCACUGGCAGCACUAGCAGUGGCAUUAGCUUAUGCCAAAUACAGCUUUUGGGAAGACCUUUUUUCUUUGAUUGGAUGGUCUCCUUCUUCCCAAACAUGAGCAGGCGGGGAGGGUAGGAAGGCUAACCACUCCAGCUGAGAGCCUCUGGGACUACUGCAUGCAGCAAAUGUACCGCCACCCAAACCCCACGUCCAGUUCUGCACCCACUUUCCACAAGGCUGUCCUGAAAAUUACACCUGCUGUGCUGACCAGGGCCAGCCCGUCUCUUGAAUGACUCUGGGAACAGGAGAUUCCAUCAAAGCCUUCAGGUAGCCAGUGUCAGGCUUGGUGUGGAGCCUCUAGCUGGUGCCGUGCAGAGGGCUUUGGAGGACUGAGGACAGCAGGGCCAAUUUUUUGUCCAGGUGCCCGGGAUGUUAACUCAUUGACUAGAACUGAACCUUUUAGCUUUGUACCAACUCUGCCAAUCCACUGUAUCUUACAUUAAACAGUAUACUUAAACCAGCUGUGGCUCUCUUCCUUAAGGUCAGAGGAUCCAGCCUAUCCAUGAGGUGUUUGUUCCAAGGGUCAAAAGCCUUCAUUCAGUUCACAAAUCAUGUCUGUUUAUAUUUUUAACAACUGAUUAUCAGUUUAUUAAAAAAUUGAUUUAA